AGGGAUUAAAAAGAAAAAUGCAUUAAAAAAACAAAGUAAAAUAAAAGAGAGGCAGGGAGGUGCAAUAUGUGUAGAGGUGUGUGGAUUUGAAUUGGGGUGCAGGCCCAUAUUCAACAAAAUCCAAGUGUUUGUUGUUGGGUAUAGUUCAUAUCAAGAAGGGUGUGAGGCAGUUGAAUGGUGUAUGUGCAGUAAAGUUGGUUUGGGCCAAGGACUUUAGGCCCAACACCAAACCAAGCCAAUGGAGGAGGGAAGAAAUUCAAAAAAAAGUUCAAGACCACUCAUCCAAACGUGUUGCUACUCCUAGUUAUGGCCAAAAAAAAAUUGUCGCGCCAGAAAUCACCUCCGGCGGCGGUGAGGUUCAAACACCACCAAAUCAAUAUUAGAAUGCUUACUUUCCUCCCCUCUUCCAUGAUCCAUCAACAUCUUUCCAUAAUUCUUACCACAUAAACCAAAUCAAACGAAACCUUACAUGAACCCUAAAACAAAAUUUUGAAAUUAAAUGCGAUAGAGGAGGAAUCAAAGCCUACAGUGUUAGGGCUUUGAUUCCUCAAGCUUAAGACUACAUGACAGUAUCAAUAUCAACGUGAAAUGCUGAAGAAAUCAAAGGGCUCACCUAUGAGGUGGAGAAUGGCCCCAGAGUCGUAGGAGUUGAUAAAGAUGAGGCAGAAAAUGAAAGAGUAUCAAGAAUGUUCAGGAUGGUAUUGUGGUCAUGGUUUAGGCAUGGAUCAUGGAUAAAUUUUGGUCAACAUGAAGAACUUGAAGGCUUACAAAGAUGGAAUGGAGAAGAUAGAGAAUAGGGUUUAGAAUAGGAUUAGAGGUUGACUGUGGUCCAAUGUUAACCCAAAGGUCAUAGUUGACCAAAGUCAACUUUAGGUCUACAAGGUGUAUUUUGUGUAAAAUUGGAUUUUGAACUUUUUGUAAUGACUUUUAAGGUUUUUGUAAUGAAAAUGGCUUUGAAUGGUGUGUA